GAAGAUAAUAGCACAAAAUAAAAAAAUAUCUCCAUAUUUUGGCUUGCAAGAAGUUUUGCGUUGGCCGUAACCCAGUUCGAGAACAUCCUCUCAUAUAUUCUCUUCACCAAGUCUCACCAACAAUCAGCUCUUAACCUUUGGUGUCAAAUUACAGGGCGAGUUCCUUUCUUGUCUUUGUCGAAAACUUUCUUUAUUCUCAUUGAAGAAAGACUCUCCCCCGAGAAGGUUUUACACAUAGGGCCAGCUGAUUUUUUUUAUCUAGCUUGCCGUUAGUUCGUCUAGUGCUUUUCAGUUGUGGUCCGCCCUAGGGAUAGGUUAGACCGCUUGAAUUUUUUCGUCUAUCGAAGGCAGUCAACGUGUUAGUCAUUUUCCCCCAUUAGACUUGUCAUUCCUUUGCUCUUUUUCUUUCUCGCUUCCAGUUCUCCCCCUCAAUUUUAUUUGACAGGGAUGGAAAAUACCACUCUAUAAAUAACAAAAAAAAAAUAGCAAUUUCAUUUUAAAUGAUUUGAGCUUGGAAGCAACCUACAAAGAUCAAGAACAGUAAUUAGCAAUAUGCCCCAAGUUGAAGUUAGGUCCUAUUAGUCAUAAGGAGCAGCAAAAAACUCUACAUUAUCUUAAUUCACUUGCUAAUGAACAAGUUACAAACAAUCUCGCAUUCUAAGCUUACCGGUGCUUGGGAGUCGUCAGACGACAAGUUGAAACCACUUUCUGGUAACUAGCUAGGCCAGCUUUCAAAGACGUGAUCAACUUUGUAAACAAAAUGAUCAGUUCUUUUUGAAUCGUAAAUUUAUCGUGACAUGCAUCUAUAUAUUAACAAACAUAAAUAAUUUGAUUUCGGAGGUUAUUAACCUCUGUUUCUUUUAAAUAUGUAUUUUUCAAUUUAGUUGCUUCGUUAAUUGCAGUAUGUCAGAAUGAACAAUUGUUUUUAGUAGGUUUGGGAGAAAUACAACCUUUCUCUACUACAAUUUUUUUACGCCAAUCCGCACGAGAAGAAAAAGACAAACUUAUUCACAUAAUUGGUGCUUGUAAUACCAAACCAUGUUAAUUUUAUGGUUAACUAAUAAUUGACGUGAUUGUACAUAUCAACUAAUAAUUAAUAAUCGUGGAUGAACGAAUAAAACUUAUAAUAUAAAAGAAAAAUGUCAUGUAUCUUUGCUCGUUCGAUGAACACCGAACGUCAGAACCUUCAGGCAUAGCUCGAAUAUUACAUUUGAAAAUUCAGAAAUGUUAUAGUAAUAAUUUGAUAUUUUACUUUUUAUUAUUACUCUUCAAUGUGUACUCAAAUUAAUAAAGUGAUAAAAUAAAAUAUCAUACGUACUAAUGAUGUAAUGUUUUCUUUUUAAUACUUUUGUAGAACGUCAUAAUUCAACUUAAGAAAAACAUAUAUUGUCUAAUUAUGAAUUAUGGUCAUUAAGGAUUCGAUUAGCGCUAACGACACAAAGAAUAGAGGCGAAAGCGGGUUCCACUCAAAUCUUUUAAAAAAAAAAAGAAAAAACAUAAAUUUAUAGGCUCUCCAAGUAAUUUUAAUUUAUUUUCCUAAAAAGGUGAAACAAAAUAUCGGAAUUUCUAAUAUAAAAGCUCUUUGUGCUGAGAUAAAAAAUCACAACUACUACUUCUUGGUUUCACAAAUAUUCAGUAGUGUUAACUUAGUCAUGGCAAGAUUGAGCAAGGGUCGAAGAAAGGUCGAAAUAGUGAAAAUGAAAAAUGAGAGUAACAUGCAAUUUACUUUCUCUAAGCAUCGUGCUGGCCUCUUCAAAAAGGCUAGUGAACUUUGUACGCUAUGUGGUGAUGAAAUUGCCAUUGUGGUAUUUUCUCCAGGCAAGGCCAACAAAGUUUACUCCUUUGGCCACCCUUCAGUGUAGUUGCUGGUGAAUAUGUUCCUGGGAGGGACCUCCCUCCACCAAAUGAUGAUGAUCGCCACAACCACCUAAUCAGGGCUCAUCGAAACACUGGUCAACGUGGGCUCAAUAAGGAGGUCAUAGACAUGCAGGAGUCUCUCCAGAAGGAGAAAGCUAUAGGGAAAUCCCUACUUGAAUCUGGGAGGGGAGUGUGUGCGAAUCUCCGAUUAUCAAAGGACUUAGCCUCUCCCAACUUGAACAAUUGAAGGAGGCAUUGGAAUCUCAAAAGCGAAAAGUUGAAUUCGAGGCAGAACUUCAACAAAUGGGGAGUGAUGCUCCACUGCCAUUUCUCACCUUUGGAAGUGCCUUGUCUCCUACUAGUGGUGAUGGGGAAAGUUCUUCACAUAAACCCAAUGUUGGUGCACCGUUUCCUAAUUAGUGCUGGUGGAUCUACUUCUUUUACAGUUCCCUACUAGUUCAACUGUCGUUCCUAAGUCGCGCAUUAUGGAAGACGCAUGAGAAAUAAGCGCAUCUAGAUUUAUCGUGUCAUUUGAGUUAUCCUCAGUGUGUCAUUUUUAAUUUGAGUCAGUCCUAUGAUGUUCAUCAUCUAUCUUAUGGUUCAUUCGAACCAUACGAGUUUAGUUAUGUGUUAUGUUGUCAGUCCAUUGUCAUGUUGAUUUUAUCGUUUGAAUGGUGUCGGUGUUUGUCGUUCGAGUCAUGUUAUCAGUCCAUAGUUGUGUUGUUUUUGUCGUUUGAAUGGUGUUAGUGUGUGUCAUUUGAGUCAUCUUAUGAUGUUCUAUCAUCAGUUGUGGUUUAUUCGAACCCAGUAACUUUAGUUAUAUAUAUAUGUUAUGUUAUUAGUUCAUUGAUAUGUUGAUUUUAUACUUGAAUGGUGUUGCUCUCUUCUUUAACAACGUAUAUCUAGAAAUUACAAAAUCUUAAAAGGAAAAUUGAUGUACGACCAUUUGUGUAUUAUCAUAUGUCGUGCUAGGUAUACGGUGGCUGUUGGCUACCACUACAACAAAAGAGAUAUUUAGUAGAAAUAUAUUUUUCCACAAAAAUAUUUAACGGCAUUUAAGUUAAGGUCAUUGUAUGUCGUUAGCGUCUUUAAUGGCAGUUAUAUCGAGUGCCGACAAAUGCUUAUGCUAUUGGCACCAAAAGUAAUUACUUUCAACAACUUUUUAUUUAUCGGUAAAUUACUGGUAAAGCUAACAGUAAAUAGGACCUAUUUUAUUGGCUACCACUACAACAAAAGAGAUAUUUAGUGGAAAUAAAUAUUACCGCAAAAAUAUUUAACGACAUUUAGGUUAAGGUCAUUGCAUGUCGUUAAAGUGUUUAGUGGUAGUUAUAUCAAGUGCCGAUAAAUGCUUAUAUUAUUGGCGCCAAAAAUAAUUACUUUCAACUACUUUUUAUUUAGCGGCAAAUUACUGGUAAAGCUAUCGGUAAAUAGGACCUAUUUUAGUGGUCCUAUUAAGGAAAUAUUAUUAAUAAGUAUAUCUUAAUACUAACCAUGAUAAAGAGUAUUAGUUUGGUGUAUACAUUAAAAAAAAUUGACUUGACCAUUGCAAUAUUCUACAGGAAUUCCGAAAAUCUAUUGUAAAAAUGGAAAAUAGUAGAGUACAGUUAGCACUAUGAUUAGUGUAUGGGCUCGUUUGGUAUAAGAGAUUAGAGAUAAUUAAUAUUGGGUUUAAUUUUAGGAUUAAUUUAUCCCAUAUUUGAUUGAGAUAAAAUGCAUGAAAUAACUUAUCCCGUAGUUGUAGUGUUAUUAAUCCCACCUUAAGGAUGGAAUACCUAAUCUUGGAUAGUUAAUUUCAUGAUAACUUGGAAGCCUCAACAGGGAUAGGUUAAAUUCAACACCGAUGGAAGUUAUUUUGACCACAAUGGAAAAGCCGGCAUAGGAGGACUAGCACGGGAUUGUGUUGGAAGUUUUCUUUUUGCUUUUGCUCUACCGAUACAGUGCAGGGAUCACAAUGACGCCGAAGCCAUGGCAGCACAUUUUGCAGUAAAGUGGCUAAAAGCCAGAGGGUACAAGUCUUGUGUUGUCGAAAUGGACUCUCUAUUGAUUGUAAAUAUGAUGCAAAAUAGGACCUCCCACAAUAUGAAUUGUGUAAGACACCACAAGAUUGAUUGUUUCAAAUGAGAUAACAUUCUCCCAUUGCUACAGAGAAGCAAACAUGGUCUCAGAUUUCCUUGCAAAGUUGGCAGCAAGCAGUGGAGAAUCUAUGCUAUACACCGAGUUUUGGCCAACUACCAGCAGGAGCUAAAGGCGCAUAUUUCUUAGAUAAGUCACAGCUUCCAAAUCUUAGGAUUAGAUAUGAUAAGGCCAAUUUCCUUGUUAGCUAAGUGUAGUGUUUUGUAGAUAGUGUGAAUGUACAACAGGUUCACUGUUUUGUCACAUUCUUUUUGCCCAGAUUGUUUUGCGAUCUUUGAUAUAUAUUAAGGGUAAGGCCUAGUCCCCCCUCUUUCAUAAUUAAUAUACAUCACCAGGUUUUCAUACUUGGAAAUUAAAUUAAAAAAAAAAAUUCAUGAUAACUUAUUUUCAACCAAACAGCAAUACGCACUACAAAAAAAACCACGUUUUAGCCACGUGCAAAAUCGUGGUUAUAUGGUACCAAAACCGUGGCUAAAUAGUUUAGCCACUUCUUUAGCCACGAUUAAAGGUGUGUCCAACAGGGGCGUAGCGAGUUUAUUAGCCAUGAUUUUAACGUCCGUAGUAACAUUUCACUAGCCGCGGUUUUCGGGUACAUUUAGCAUUCACAGCAUUUAGUGUGGCGAGUGAAUGUUGUGGUCCAAAUUUCCGAGCAUUCACAAGCAGAUCCCAUAUCCUUGUGUCUAGGUGUAGACACGUGAUUUUUGAUCCUCCUCGAAUUUUAAUUUAUUUUUGAUAUUAAAUAUUUAUAUUUGGUAUAAUAUUAUUUAAUUUCUUAUUUUAUUUUAAUUUUAAUAACGUUUUAGUUAAAAUUUAUUUUUGAUAUUUUUAUUUCUAUUUUUUAUCCUAAUUUUAAAAAUAAUACAAAAAUUCAAUAUAUAUAUAUAUAUAUAUAUAUAGUUAUCAUUUUUCUUGGAUCAACCACAUGUAUGUAUGCGUAAUUUGUUCAUUUUCACUUUUUCAGCGUCAACCGACCUUCCAUCCCAAUUGGCUUGGGAGGUUAUUGCUAUUAUUAUUUAUUUAUUUAUUAUUAUUUAUUUUUAUUUAUUUGUUAUUAUUUAUUAUUAUUUUAUUGUUUUCAAUUAUAUAUAUAUAUAUUCAAAAUUCAAAAAAUACUAUCCUAAUAGAUAACUACUCCCCCAAUUUUUUUCUCCCCCAAAAUCCCUCUACUUAAAGGACUCCCACCCACCCCCCAAAAAAGACUACGAACAUCAUCAAAUACUGCAUUAGUGAAAAACAGAGAGAAAAAAAAAAGGUGAGAAAACAAGCGAAGAAGAGAGAGUAAGGAUUCAAAAGUGAGAGUUUCGUUUGAAAUUUUCCGGUGACGACAUUCGAGUUUCUAUUUUAAUUCAUUAUCAGGUUCUUAUUUAAUUGUGCACUUUUAUUUUUAUGAAUUAUGUUGUGAGUUACAUCAUGAAUAAAGUUGUGUCAGUAAUUUUCUUGAAUUAUUUAUUGUGUAUGAUUUAUUGUAGUGUUAUGUUUAUUUGAACGAUUAUUCGAAUUUAUGUCUGGCCCUCUUUGAUUAUGCAUCGAAAUUGAUCCUAGAUGUUGAAAUUUUCUUUAAAAGUAUAGGAUGAUUUGGUUAGAACAAAAAAUAAAAAAAAAUAGACGCACAAUAAUAAAUAUACACACACUGUACGCAGCAUACACAAAGACUAGCCAUAUAUAUUUUUCAUUUUUCUGUUCACCUUAUAACACUCUCAGUGGAAUUGAUAGCCGGUGAGUUCUAGUUGAUGUUGUCGCCGGAAUUGAUUUUUGUCAGUCGUGUUUAUGUCUUCUUCUAUUUUUUUUUUUUUAAGUUUUAUUACUAGACUCGAAUAUGAGGUUUGCAAUAAUGCAAUAGGAUAUCAUCCAGUAGUGAUAGAUGUCAAAGAUGUAAAGAAUAAAGUAAUGUUGACUCAAAAACUAGCAGGAAUAUUAUAUUCUUGUUUACAUAUUUUCUAGUUUGAUUGAUUUAAUAUUUCCUGUUCAUGCGUAUGUAUUAUAUACUGUAAGUUCAUAUUUUAUAUAUGCUAUAUAUUAUUUAACAUUUUUUAAAGAAAAAUAAUAUAUAUAUAUAUAUUAUAUAUAUAUAUAUAUAUAUAUAUGUGUGUGUGUGUGUGUGUUAUCUUGUGAUAUAAUGAAAAUGGCCUAAUUUUGUUAAUAUAAAAGUAAGGGAGAAAAGUUAUCUUUGAUGGAAAUAGUUAAAAAUUUAAAACAUUAUUGAGCAAAACUCCUAAAAUAUUAAUGCUAUAUUGGAUACUUUCUCAAUGUUCUAAAUGUGAUUCAAUUAAAUAUUUUCUUUUAAAUGAUUAUGUAAUUUUGUUAACUUUAUUACGUGAUUAUAAAAAAUUAUUAUUAAUAUUGUUGUGUUUGUUAAGACGUAACUUAGUUAUGUUAUGUAAUUACAUUUACUUGAAAUUUAAUUAAUAAUAAUUAAUUUAUUCAUGUUUGUUAUCGUCGAAGUCUGAAGAUAAAAUAGUUACAAGUUUAUAAGUGGCGAAAUAAAUUCCUUUUAACGCUAGGUAAAUUUUAGACAUGUUUAAUUUAUUCGUCUCAAUUGAGAAUGCGGCAUAUGAAUCUUUUCGAGACAUUUUAAAAUUCAAGGAUGUUAUAAUGUACCUUGGCAUAUAUUUUUCAAAAAUUAAUUUUUUACCCGAUUUAUUUAAUAUAAGAUAAUAGACAAGUUUUCGACAUAAUAAAAAUGAAUGAUUUUAGGCCUUAACAUAAUUUAUCGAAAUAGUUUUAGUAAAGAUAAGUCAAUAAAGCAACCGUGCUAGAACCACGGGACUCGAGGGGUGCCUCACACCUUCCCCUCAGUCAAUAGAAUUCCUUACCCGGUCUUCUGUUUUCACAGACCAUAAUAAGAGUCAUUUCCUUUUGACUAGGGAUUCAUAAAGGUGACUUGGAACACCAUAACUCAAUUCCAAGUGGCGAUUCUGUAAAUAAAUUAAUCUCUAUUCAAAACCUUCACUUUAAUUGGAAAAAUCCUUCGACUCAUGUUUGUCACACCCCCUUUUUACGUACUCUAAAAAAUGGUUAUAUUUUAAUGUUCGAAAAAGGGUUUUAUUAUUUAAGUGACAAAAAAUGAAAAUUUGUUUUGGAAAAGGAUUAUUAACAUUUUUUGUUCAGAGUCGUGGCAUAAUCUGGUAUGCCAAGUCACCAUUAAAAAUCUUUUUCAAAAACCAUUUGACUCUUUAAACUGGUUUGCGAACAGAGAUUUCGGCUUAGGAAUUCUGUUGACCGAGGGGAAGGUAUUAGGCACCCCUCGAUCCCGUGGUUCAACCUCGAUCGCUUGGUAGAGUGUAUCGACUAUUUUUUUUUUGGCACUAAGAAACGUAUAAAUUGGCACGAAAAAAAGCACGCCAAAUAAUCAAAACACAACAAAACAAUCCAAAAUGUAAAAUCCAGUCCAAUUAUUACAACCCGAAAUAAAAAGGGACUGAAAGUAAACCUACGCUAAUCCUAAACUAAUGCUCUACCCAACGUCUCGGGCCUUCACCACAAACGUCCUCCGGGUACAUGAUACCUCGGGGCAUUUCCCGGUGAAUAAAUGUAUACAGAUACUUCGUGGUAUUCCCCGGCCAAAUUAUACAAUUGAUUCAAAAAUGCUAAAAUCAAACCAUUCAAUCAAAUUUCAAACAUUCAAUCAAUCCACCAUCUCUAGAUUUGCCUACCCGACCUACGUCUUGCCUAUUCCAAUCAGCGUAUCUUGAUACUAUCAAAUUCAAUUAACGUUCAUUUCAAGUCAAUCAACUAAUGAAUCAAACUAAUCAAAAUUCACCAAUUAUAUCAAGUUUCAAACCCCGUUCCACUUAUUCCCAAUCAAUUAACCAAUUUCAAUAUAAGAAUCAACCAAUCAAGGUACGACAAUUAUAGAAACUCAAACACGCACAAAAUUCGUAUCAUCAACCCAUCACGAAUCAACAAAAAUCACGACAUCAAACAUCACAUCACGAUAAAAUAAAAAGAGAUUAAGUUGAAGAAUUUGACCUCGAUUUUAUUUCAUCCACUGAAUUUGUUCGAACAAAGCCAACGAACUUAAGACCUCGAUUCAAUGAACUCAACACGGAUCCUCCAACUCGAUCAAACCCCCUUCCAAAAGAUAACCAAGCAACCUCGAAACAGUUUCCACGAAAUACGGCAGUUUCUAAGGAUCAGUCACCGAUUUCAGACAUUUUCCGACAGAUUUUCGAAAUUGAUUCAAUCGGAGUUUCUAUUUUCUCGGUGUCGGAGCUCCGGCGAGCUCCGACGGGGUCAAGAGACGACGAAAAUGGUUUAGAUUUCGGCGAUGGGUAGCCUUUUCCGAUGGGAUUUCACCGAUUCUUACUGUUUCUUUGCCCAAACCCUCUCAAAUCGACUCCAUUCCCUCCGUUUCACUCUCUUUCUCCUGAUUCUCUGUCUCGCUUGGUUUCGUCUCUCACUGUGUAGUUGUGUGUAUCGGUGAGGGAUUGUGAGAGUGUGCAAUAGUCUCUGUUGUUAAUUUUUGAGGUCAGUGAAGAAGAAAAGCAAAUCAGAAAAUGGCGUGUGUGCACUCUCUUUCUGAGAAAAAUGAAAAAAAAAAAAUUCGUCCCUUGAUCGUGAUCCCCUUGUAUAAGAUGAUAGUGGUGUCCUGUGAAGAAGAAAAAAAAAUUGGAAUCUUCUGCCUCCUUUUCUUGUGAUGUCAAGAAUUGUGUGAAGAUACAAAAAAAAAUGGCCUCCUGUAUUCCGUUAAGUGUGGG
rnacentral:lncRNA from 1 species